UGACCUCAAAUCGAGUAAGACUACCCGCUGAACUUAA
rnacentral:rRNA from 1 species